GACUUUACGGGCUGCGUAUUAAGGCGCUAAUGGCAGACGUGCAGCUUACAAUCAUGGGUGUGAAAUAAAUUAUCCGUGCGUGGUAUCGAAAAGUAAGAAUGACGCAAGAAACGCAGCAGAGGGACAUUCUAGUCCACCAAGAACCAAGAGCAUUUGAGGACGACCUUCAACAUUUGGAUAAUCAACCUCUAGCCUUACACUUAUUUAGAGGUUUGACAAAUGAAAAGUUGGAUGAAAAACUAAGAAUGAUACGCAGCCAAAGGAGUCUUCUUCAAUCUCGAAUCAUUCGACUUUUGGAUGAACAGGCGAUGAUAAACAGACGAAGAGCAAGGUUAUUGAAGCUUAAAGGAAACAUUGAUGAAAAUAUGUGAACAGAUGCAACGAAACUAUUUCAGUACGGUAGUCAGAAAUCAAUGCAGCGAAACAUCAAAUAUUAAAACUUUGGAAGGCA